AAGUGCUUUUCAGAAGCUUAAGGUGCUUUUUCUGUGGCUGUAAGUCGAAGACGAAUGGACAGACGAAGAAAGAAACAGAGAGAACUAGUUGCAUGCAGCUUAUAGACAGGGAAGAAGAGUGCCACUUUAUAUUGGUGAAGGCAGCUCUUGCACAUCAUCUUCCAAAAGUAAAUACAUCAAGGGCUCUGAGUUUGGCUUGAGAGCAGUAGACUCAGUGUAUUGAUCAGGCUAAUAACCUCUAGGUUCUUACCAAAAUCUCCUCGCCUUCUUUUCCUUGUAUUCUUACCAAAGUCUCCUUACCUUCUUUUCCUUCUAUAAAACAUUAACUAUAGAAGGUUGUGAUUUGGGAGAGAUUUUUCAGGUGAAUAUACCAAGUGUCAUAAUAUAAAUGGUUAGAUACUUGCAAAAAAAAAAAAAAAAUUCAACCA